UUUACGGAGAGUUUGAUCCUGGCUCAGGACGAACGCUGGCGGCGUGCUUAACACAUGCAAGUCGAACGAUGAUGCCCAGCUUGCUGGGUGGAUUAGUGGCGAACGGGUGAGUAACACGUGAGUAACCUGCCCCUGACUCUGGGAUAAGCGUUGGAAACGACGUCUAAUACUGGAUAUGAUCACUGGCCGCAUGGUCUGGUGGUGGAAAGAUUUUUUGGUUGGGGAUGGACUCGCGGCCUAUCAGCUUGUUGGUGAGGUAAUGGCUCACCAAGGCGACGACGGGUAGCCGGCCUGAGAGGGUGACCGGCCACACUGGGACUGAGACACGGCCCAGACUCCUACGGGAGGCAGCAGUGGGGAAUAUUGCACAAUGGGCGAAAGCCUGAUGCAGCAACGCCGCGUGAGGGAUGACGGCCUUCGGGUUGUAAACCUCUUUUAGUAGGGAAGAAGCGAAAGUGACGGUACCUGCAGAAAAAGCACCGGCUAACUACGUGCCAGCAGCCGCGGUAAUACGUAGGGUGCAAGCGUUGUCCGGAAUUAUUGGGCGUAAAGAGCUCGUAGGCGGUUUGUCGCGUCUGCUGUGAAAUCCCGAGGCUCAACCUCGGGCUUGCAGUGGGUACGGGCAGACUAGAGUGCGGUAGGGGAGAUUGGAAUUCCUGGUGUAGCGGUGGAAUGCGCAGAUAUCAGGAGGAACACCGAUGGCGAAGGCAGAUCUCUGGGCCGUAACUGACGCUGAGGAGCGAAAGCAUGGGGAGCGAACAGGAUUAGAUACCCUGGUAGUCCAUGCCGUAAACGUUGGGCGCUAGAUGUAGGGACCUUUCCACGGUUUCUGUGUCGUAGCUAACGCAUUAAGCGCCCCGCCUGGGGAGUACGGCCGCAAGGCUAAAACUCAAAGGAAUUGACGGGGGCCCGCACAAGCGGCGGAGCAUGCGGAUUAAUUCGAUGCAACGCGAAGAACCUUACCAAGGCUUGACAUACACCGGAAACGGCCAGAGAUGGUCGCCCCCUUGUGGUCGGUGUACAGGUGGUGCAUGGUUGUCGUCAGCUCGUGUCGUGAGAUGUUGGGUUAAGUCCCGCAACGAGCGCAACCCUCGUUCUAUGUUGCCAGCGGGUUAUGCCGGGGACUCAUAGGAGACUGCCGGGGUCAACUCGGAGGAAGGUGGGGAUGACGUCAAAUCAUCAUGCCCCUUAUGUCUUGGGCUUCACGCAUGCUACAAUGGCCGGUACAAAGGGCUGCGAUACCGUAAGGUGGAGCGAAUCCCAAAAAGCCGGUCUCAGUUCGGAUUGAGGUCUGCAACUCGACCUCAUGAAGUCGGAGUCGCUAGUAAUCGCAGAUCAGCAACGCUGCGGUGAAUACGUUCCCGGGCCUUGUACACACCGCCCGUCAAGUCAUGAAAGUCGGUAACACCCGAAGCCGGUGGCCUAACCCUUGUGGAAGGAGCCGUCGAAGGUGGGAUCGGUGAUUAGGACUAAGUCGUAACAAGGUAGCCGUACCGGAAGGUGCGGCUGGAUCACCUCCUUUCUAAGGA
rnacentral:rRNA from 28 species